UGGGGAAUAUUGCACAAUGGGCGAAAGCCUGAUGCAGCAACGCCGCGUGAGUGAUGAAGGCCUUCGGGUUGUAAAGCUCUGUCUUCUGGGACGAUAAUGACGGUACCAGAGGAGGAAGCCACGGCUAACUACGUGCCAGCAGCCGCGGUAAUACGUAGGUGGCAAGCGUUGUCCGGAUUUACUGGGCGUAAAGGAUGCGUAGGCGGAUACUUAAGUCAGAUGUGAAAAUCCCGGGCUUAACUUGGGAACUGCAUUUGAAACUGGGUAUCUAGAGUGCGGGAGAGGAAAGUGGAAUUCCUAGUGUCGCGGUGAAAUGCGUAGAUAUCAGAUAGAACACCAAUGGCGAAGGCAGUCACUUGGUCCAUUACUGACGCUAAAGCACGAAAGCGUGGGUAGCAAACA
rnacentral:rRNA from 1 species